CUCCCAAAGUGCUAAGAUUACAAACAUGAGCCACUGUGCCCAGCCAUAUUUUAUUUUUAAAAGGAGUCUUAAAUAGAGACACAUAUUGAUUGUGUGCCUAGUGUAAGGAAUUAUAUCACCCCUCUGUUCAGUUCAAUGUACUGCAACAAGUAUGUAUGCACUACUUUACUUGUAAUAGUAAUUCUUUAUAUUAAUAUAUGUACCACAGUUUGCAAAAGUCAUUUGCUUUUCUCAACAUUCCUUUGAGGGAGGUAGUACUAUUCUUAUUGGUUGGAUGAAGAGACUGAGGAUAAGAGAGGUUAAGUGCCUUGAGGAGUUGGUGGUUUGGACUCCAAGUCUAACUUUCAUUCCACCAGACCAUGCUGGGAACAGAAGAAAGGAGAAAUACCCUACAUUCCUAUGCCUCUUUAAGCUUACAAUGUAGUUGAUGAGACAAGCCCCCAAACCAUUAGACACCCAGAUAAAAAUACUUAGCCUAAGGAGGAGACAUGGCCGUCUUCAUCAGUCCCUAAGCACUCUCCAUUUUGCCAGUUUGAACUACUUCUCCCUGUUGCCUUACUUGGUCUUCUUUAGGCAUGUAUGGUACCUGCCCAGACUCUGAAGGCCUUUGAAGGAGAGCUCCUGAUAAGAUAUAGGGAAGAAUUGGCUGAGUUCUGGUCCCUGGAGUUUUAAAUUGUAGGCGAGGCAGAAAUUGUGCAUUUUACCUGCAAUGGAGACUUUGCACUGACAGCCCUGGACAAUAAAAAGGAUGGCAGGAUGGCUUUCCUGCAGGCAAAUCUUUCAGGGAUCCAGACUGGUGAUGCUCUAGCACCUUCAACCUGUGGCUUCCAGACUUUCCCCAGGAGGUGUCUCCAUUGCAGCCAUCCAGGAGGCAGAUGAAACAUGGAGAAAUGUGCAUGGCCAGGUAUGGACGUGUUGCCCCUCACUUCUGCUCACAUUCUACUGCUAGAACAGAGUCACACACCGUCCCUAAGUGCAAGCAAGGGUGGGGAAUGAGGGCUAGUUACACACGGAGGACGAAAAGGAGAAUGUGGGUGCUGGUCUUUGCUAUAGUAUCUGUACUUUUGCUCAUGGAAAAAUUUAUUUCAAAGUUCCGUUUUACCAACCAGUGAGAAUCAAUUGUGUGUUCAGAAGUAGCUCUGGGAUCACCACAAACCUCUACUAAUAUGAAUCAAAUGUCACAGAGUUGAUUUGGCUUUUCAGAAGAUUGGCAAAUCUCCAUUGGAGGAAUGAGUAGGGGUGACCUCUGUGGAACUGGGCAAACUGGUUCAGACCAUUUCCUGGCCUGAGCCUGUGAGUCAGUCCUCCCAAGUGUCUGAAAAGCCCAUGUGCACUGCAUUCUCAUGUGAUUGGGGGAAAUUCUGGUCUUAUCUUCACAAAUAAAAAUAAUUAUUCUGCUAAAAUCGCCCACUUGUUAUCUGGAAAGACAGCAGGAAUCCCUUAGUAGGAAGGACCCCAGGAACCCUGCUACAAAUACGGGCCAAUAAAUGGGCAAAGGUAGGGAGACUUUCAUCUUUUGGAGAAACUAAUACAUAGGGCAUCAGCUGAGUUUCCAUUUCAGUGCAACUUAAGCCUGAGUGAUAAAGGCAGCAGUGUUCUGUGAACCUUAUAUUACAUAACCCUCAUGUGAUUCAGGGCUGCUAUUUAUAGUUUCCCAUUGUGUGGGGCUCUGGACUGGGUUACAGGGAUGCAGCUUCCUUCUGCAGUAUCCCAGGAGGAGAUCCAAAUGACUGCAGUGUACCCAGCGUUCACCUGGCUUAGGUCUUUCAUGACUGUUUCUGUUUUAUUGUCUAUCUUAAGUUUUGGCUUCUACCUUUCCCUUACACUUGGUUGUUCAUUCAUUCAUUUAUUGAUUCAUUCAACAAAUACGUAGUGCCUGCUAGGCACUGAGGAUAAACAGUUGAGUAAAACACUCCUUGGGUGGAGGUAGGGAAUAGAAAAAUACUGACUCCUAGACCCCCAUCCAAGACCAAUGAAAACAGUGUCUGGGUGGUGAGCUCUGGGCAUAAGUGUGAUUUAAAAUCUCCCUAAGAGAGUCCAGUGCAUCGCCAGGAUGGAGAACCGUUAGAUUUGUAGAUCCUGAAGCCAGAGGAAUGUAUGAAAUUUAAUAUUCCAGGGAGGAAGACUAAGAUGAUAAAUAGAGAGUUCUAAGUAGGUGUCAAAAAAACAGUAGAGGGGGGAUUGGGAAUUGCUUGAUACAGAGAAAGAAAUACAAUUUUAUGGUCAGAUCAAUAUGUAGUGGAAUUUCAACCUUUCUAUCUUUUUCAACCUUUAUAGCUUUGUGUGAUUCUGGAAAAGUCAUUUAAACUCUUUGAGCCUUUGCUUUUUCAUUUAAAAAUGUGGGUAAUUAGAAUCUUCACAACCUAGGAUUGCGGCGAGCAUCUAAGCAGAGUCUGGUGGACAACAAAUCUCAGUUGUUUUUGUUAUUAUUUGGAGUUCAGGAGGAGAGAUCAAGAACAGAAAGCUGGACAAUUUAAAGGUGAUUUUGAGUCCUAAGGGAUCCUCUCUUGCUUCCAAAGUUGGGGAGAAGUCCAUUAUCAUUUUUAUCUUAAAACUCACACAAAAAUGUUGUUAAUUAGAGUACCAAUUAAUUAGGAUAAAAAGAAAACUUCAGGUGUUUUUGAAAGGUCCUUUUUUUGGAGGACAUGUCAGAAAGUGCUCAGGCCUCCCUGGGGGCCUUUCACUGUUUUCUGCUGUUAGGCAAACCUUAGCAGGCAGGUGGAGAGGUUAGACUUGAGCAUUAUAAAAGGUCUCACCAUUCUGAGUGGGUGAAAGCAGCAGACCCUGUGUGGUUGAGCCAUUCAGACACCAAUCUCUCUGGGUAUUUAACUAACCAUUGUUAGCACUGGUUUUAGUGAUCGACUGUCCAUACAUAAGCAGAAAUGUAUAUUCAAUAUAUUCCCCUUUUUUCACUUAUAACACAGUCUUAAGCCCUGGUUUUGUUUUGUUUUUUACCUUGACAAUAACUUGGCGAUUAUUUCUAUCAAUCCAUAAAGAGCUUCUUCAUUUUAAAAAUAGCUACACAGUAUUCUUUAAUGUGGUUGCAUUACAAUUUAUUUAACCAAUAUUCUCUUUAUGGGUAUUUAGGAUGUUCUUAGCCUUUUGUUAUGUCAAACAUUGCUGCAGUGAUAGACUGUAUAUGUAUGUCAUUUUGUAUGCGUGAGAACCUUUUGAACUAUAAAUUCCUGGAGGUGUAAUAGCUGGGUCAAAUGGUACAUGCAUUUAUAGGUUCCCUUCACAGAGGCUUUUGUUGUAUGGGGCUCUAAACAUAAUUCCCACUUCCACCAGCAAUGUAAGAGAAUGCCUGUUUUCCUGUGCUGUCUGUCACAAAGUUUGAUUUCCACCAAUGUACUUAGUGCAAAAUGAUACCUCCCUAUAGCUGCAAUGUGCAUCUCUUUCAUUGUGAGUGAUGUUGAGCCCUUUUUCAUGUUUUAAGACUCAUUUGAGUUUUCUUUGCUGGCAAGAGUUGGUUAAUAUUCCAUGCCUAUUUUCCAACUGAGUCAUUGGUUUGUUUCUUGUUGAUUUUUGAGAAUUCUUUAUAUGUUGAGGAAAUUUAGCACUGCAUCUAUGGCAAAUAUGUUCUACCUUUCAGUUCUGUCUUUUCUCUUUUGAUCUUGAUUGUUUUGCAGGAUUUUGUAGCU